GCAAAUGGCUGGAGUUCACACACAGGAUUGGGUGCAUGCCACCUGCAGUGUGACUCAGCAGACUGACAGAAGCC
rnacentral:pre_miRNA from 1 species